CCUACGUGAGGCAGCAGUGAGGAAUAUUGGUCAAUGGGCGCGAGCCUGAACCAGCCAAGUCGCGUGAAGGAUGACUGCCCUACGGGUUGUAAACUUCUUUUAUAAAGGAAUAAAGUGAGGCACGUGUGCCUUUUUGUAUGUACUUUAUGAAUAAGGAUCGGUUAACUCCGUGCCAGCAGCCGCGGUAAUACGGAGGGUCCGAGCGUUAUCCGGAUUUAUUGGGUUUAAAGGGCGCGUAGAUGGGUUUUUAAGUCAGUUGUGAAAGUUUGCGGCUCAACCGUAAAAUUGCAAUUGAUACUGGCAGUCUUGAGUACAGUUGAGGUAGGCGUAAUUCGUGGUGUAGCGGUGAAAUGCUUAGAUAUCACGAAGAACUCCGAUUGCGAAGGCAGCUUACUAAACUGCCACUGACAUUGAUGCUCGAAAGUGUGGGUAUCAAACAGGAUUAGAUACCCGGGUAGUC
rnacentral:rRNA from 1 species